CCCUUAGAUGUCCUGGGCCGCACGCGCGUUACACUGAUGCAUUCAACGAGCUUAUAACCUUGGCCGAGAGGCCUGGGCAAUCUUGUUAACGUGCAUCGUGAUGGGGAUAGAUUAUUGAAAUUAUUAAUCUUGAACGAGGAAUUCCUAGUAAACGCAGAUCAUCAAUCUGCAUUGAUUACGUCCCUGCCCUUUGUACACACCGCCCGUCGCUCCUACCGAUUGGGUGUGCUGGUGAAAUGUUCGGAUCGGCCGUUUGUCGCGGUUUCCGCGGCUCGUGGCUGAGAAGUUCAUUAAACCCUCCCACCUAGAGGAAGGAGAAGUCGUAACA
rnacentral:rRNA from 1 species